rnacentral:lncRNA from 1 species
AAUGUUGAACAUUAGAAACAUUUCAAAAAAGAAUAUGAAAGAGAUUAUACACUAUCAGAGGAAUUGGUGCAUAAAGUAGAAAGUGUCAAAGGCUCCUGGGGAAAAUUGCAGCUCCAUGGCAAAGGAGGGAGAAAACUGAUUUUUGUGUUUUUGUAGCUGUAUUCACAGCAUCAGGCAGAACUGUUUUAAUGUUAAAACACUCCCUAAUACCCCAAGAGCCCAUGCUUUUCAGCUUGUAAAACUUAGUAAACAUGCCUGUAAGCCUUAAGGUAUCUCAGAGUGGGGGAAAACCAAGAGGGAGUCUUUUAUUCAGAAAAAAUAUAUUUUUUUCCAAAUUUGUGAAUAUUUGUGGUCUUUUCCCCUGGUUAGCAAAACAGGCUUUAUUAUGGAAGUGAGAAGUGUCUGUAGAAAUUGCAAACAAAACUAAGUGCAUUCUAAGCCCCUCACAGCUAAUACCAUUAUGAAUGCACACUUUUCUUUAAUGGUGGUGGGCAAUAAUAUAUUGAAAAUAUAAUAAUUUAAUAUGUUAAUAAAUAAAUGUCCCAUCAGUGAAGCUCUGUGUGCCUCAACAGGAGCCUUUUGAGAGGCAUUAUUGAUAGUGGCCAGUAGAGGACAGAAAAGGUUGAACUCAGAGCAGAUGAGAGGUAAUGUGGCUUGCUGUACCUUCUCUCACUGUUGUGAUAACAGAAACCCUUUAAUGCAUCUUAGCUGCAGAUGUCUUCUUGCUUUUGUAUCUCAAAAGGAACAGCAAAAACCUGCCAGAGGCACUACUUGCCCUGCAGGUUUGUCCUCUUAUCAUCCAUUUUAGCUGAUGUAUUUGUACGUCUUAUAUUUCUGUACCAUAGUCAUUUCAUCCAGAGAGGAUUUUGAGGGAAUACAUGUUGUUUCAAGGGAACCAAGGACAAAAUGGGCAAAAUGAGACUAAUUUUAUCAUGCAGGGGAUGCGGCAGCUGCAGCAAAGGAGCCACUACUGAACAGUAAGUUAUAAAAUCCCAAACUGCUCCUUUUGGAGACUGAGUUUACACCUUACAUUGAGAAUGUACUGAUAGUGCCCUCUGCCCUUUAAUAGCAGCACUGUGACUUCCUGAUAUGUUGCUUUGGCCCUGAAGAAUCAGGUCACAUAAAAUGGGAAUGCUCUAUACUUAAGCAGCACCUUUUAUCCGGCAGGCUAAAUCCCCCUUACAACUUCUGGUUCAUUAACUCUCGUAAUAAAAGAUGUAGACAUAACAAUUCCCAGGAAACUGUCCUGUGAACUGAAAUGCCACUGAAAUGGCAUGCAUGCAACUACAGGAGGAAAAAGCAAUGUUGUUCUUUAUCAACAGCAUUAUACAAGGUGAACCUUUGACCAUAUGCGUGAGGUUGACAUUAUUGGAUCGCAUCUCAGGUCAUGGGAUGGGUGUGAAUUUAGGGCACACUACCAGAGGCAGCAUCUGGGACAGGUAGCAGAGAUUCAGGAAAGGGAAAGUAAGAGCCAUGAUCUUAAAUCUGAAGUCCAAGGAAGAAGCCAAUUUAAAAAAACAAUAGAAGCAGAUCUGUAUAAGAGGCAG